rnacentral:lncRNA from 1 species
UUAUCUUACCUUACCUAUCCUUGCUGUUAUCUAACCAUACCUUACCUUUUCUGUUAUCUUACCUUACCUUAUCCUUGCUGUUAUCUGACCAUACCUUACCUUUUCUGUUAUCUUACCUUACCUAAUCCUUGCUGUUAUCUGACCAUACCUUAUCCUUCCGUGUAGGCCGUGAGGAACCGGUGCGCGCCACCUUGACGGCGACGAAACUGGUGCUCUGGCCUCUGAGUUGUGAUGGAGCAAUGUGUUGGUGGUGAGAAUAGUCCAUCUCAGUUCAUCAACAAUGAUCUGGAUGUUGUGCCCUGUUAUGAUAAUGAUCCAUCUCAGUCCAUUAACAAUGGUAGCAGUGCUGCCCCUAUUAACCUAGAGGAGGGUGCAGCUACCAAUAAUGGUGCUGCAGACACUUCAGAAAAUGUUGAUGGUAAGAAGCAUAAAAGAAUUUGCACAUCUAAAGUUUGGCAUGAUUUCGAGCCGCUCUACAAGACUGUAGACGGCAAGAGGAUAAGGUAUGGUGGUAAGUGUCACUGGUGCAAAUCUACAUUGACUGUUGUGUCUACUAGUGGUACUGGUCAUUUGCUUAGGCACCAACGUGAUUGCAAAGUUAAGCUUUCUAAACAAGGCAAGCAGUCAAUCCUUAAGUUUAACCCUGAUGGUUCUGUUCGUAACUGGGAUUACUGUCCUGAUCGUGCUAGAACUCAGAUGUGUAGGUUGAUUGCUAGGCUUGAUCUUCCACUUAAUUUUGCUGAGUCACCUGCUUUUGAGGAGUAUAUUAGACUAUCUCAUAAUCCUGUCUUUAAGAAAGUAUCUCAUCAAACUACUGCUAGGGACUUUGUCAAGUUCUUUAAUGAUCGUCGUAAGAUAGUUGUUGAGUGCUUGCAAUCUGUUUCUUCUAUUGCAAUUACAUCUGAUAUUUGGAGUGGUAAUGCUAAGGAAGACUAUCUUAGUGUGGUUGCUCAUUAUGUUUCUAAGGACUGGGCAUUAGAAAAGAGGGUCAUUGGCCUUAGACUAAUUGAAACAGCUCACACUGGUGAGAACAUUGCUGAGAGGGUUAUGACUGUGCUUCAAGAUUAUGGUGUUGUUAAUAAAGUUUUUUCUGUAACCUUGGAUAAUGCCUCCUCCAAUUCUAAAGCUAUGGAGAAGCUUAGUCCAUCCUUAGCUGCAUAUGUUGGUACUUUAUUCUUGCAUCAACGUUGUGCUUGCCAUAUUAUCAAUUUGAUUGUGAAAUGCGGCUUGAAAAGACUGCAACCUUACCUUGAUUCAUUUAGAACUGCAAUUGUCUUCUUGAAUGCUUCUAAUCAGCGUAUUGUUGCAUUUAAGGGUUAUUGUGUUGCUAUGAAUGUACGACCUCGUAAAUUUGGCAUUGACAUGCCCGUGAGAUGGAAUUCUACAUAUCUUAUGCUUAAGCAUUUAAUUCCUUACAAGGGAACCUUUGGUGUGUUCAUAGACACUAACUAUCCUAGAAAACCAGGUGAACCUAAUCUGUUGACAAAUUCGCAUUGGUAUGUGGCUGAAAAGUUGCUUCAGUUUCUUGAACUGUUUUAUGAUGCUACUGUGACCCUUUCUGGGGUUUACUAUCCUACAUCUCCAC